rnacentral:rRNA from 1 species
AACGAACGCUGGCGGCAGGCUUAACACAUGCAAGUCGAACGCCCCGCAAGGGGAGUGGCAGACGGGUGAGUAACGCGUGGGAAUCUACCUAGUUCUACGGAACAACACAGGGAAACUUGUGCUAAUACCGUAUACGCCCUACGGGGGAAAGAUUUAUCGGAAUUAGAUGAGCCCGCGUUGGAUUAGCUAGUUGGUGGGGUAAUGGCCUACCAAGGCGACGAUCCAUAGCUGGUCUGAGAGGAUGAUCAGCCACACUGGGACUGAGACACGGCCCAGACUCCUACGGGAGGCAGCAGUGGGGAAUAUUGGACAAUGGGCGAAAGCCUGAUCCAGCCAUGCCGCGCGAGUGAUGAAGGCCUUAGGGUUGUAAAGCUCUUUCAGUAGGGAAGAUAAUGACGGUACCUACAGAAGAAGCCCCGGCUAACUUCGUGCCAGCCGCCGCGGUAAGAC